rnacentral:rRNA from 1 species
AACGAACGCUGGCGGCAGGCCUACACAUGCAAGUCGAACGUGAAGCAGCAGCUUGCUCCUGUGGAAAGUGGCAGACGGGUGAGUAACGCGUGGGAAUCUACCCAGCUCUACGGAAUAACGCAGGGAAACUUGUGCUAAUACCGUAUACGUCCUCCGGGAGAAAGAUUUAUCGGAGUUGGAUGAGCCCGCGUUAGAUUAGUUUGUUGGUGGGGUAACGGCCUACCAAGACUACGAUCUAUAGCUCGGUCUGAGAGGAUGAUCAGCCACACUGGGACUGAGACACGGCCCAGACUCCUACGGGAGGCAGCAGUGGGGAAUAUUGCACAAUGGGCGCAAGCCUGAUGCAGCCAUGCCGCGUGAGUGAAGAAGGCCUUAGGGUUGUAAAACUCUUUCAUCGGUUGAAGAUAAUGACGGUAGCCGAAAGAAGAAGCCCCGGCUAACUCCGAUGCCAGCAGACGCGGUAAUACGGAGGGGGCGAGCAGUUGUUCGGAAUUACUGGGACGUUAAGCGCACGUAGGGCGGAUUGGUCAGAUAGGGGGGUGAAAUCCCGAUGACUUAACCUCGGAAACUGCCCUCAAUUCACUGACAAUCUAGGAGAUCGGAAGCAGGUAAGUGAAAUUCCUACUGUAAACGGUGAAAUUCGUGAAGAAUAUUAAGGAAAGAACAACCAAGUGGGCAAAGCAG